UACGUAGGGUGCAAGCGUUAAUCGGAAUACUGGGCGUAAAGCGUGCGCAGGCGGUUUUGUAAGUCUGUCGUGAAAUCCCCGGGCUCAACCUGGGAAUUGCGAUGGAGACUGCAAGGCUAGAAUCUGGCAGAGGGGGGUAGAAUUCCACGUGUAGCAGUGAAAUGCGUAGAGAUGUGGAGGAACACCGAUGGCGAAGGCAGCCCCCUGGGUCAAGAUUGACGCUCAUGCACGAAAGGCGUGG
rnacentral:rRNA from 1 species